rnacentral:rRNA from 1 species
AUUGAACGCUGGCGGCAGGCCUAACACAUGCAAGUCGAACGAGUGGCGGACGGGUGAGUAAUGUCUGGGAAACUGCCCGAUGGAGGGGGAUAACUACUGGAAACGGUAGCUAAUACCGCAUACCCUCGGAUGUGCCCAGAUGGGAUUAGCUAGUAGGUGGGGUAACGGCUCACCUAGGCGACGAUCCCUCGCUGGUCUGAGAGGAUGACCGGCCAAACUGGAACUGUGAAACGGUCCAGCCUCCUACGGGAGGCAGCAGUGGGGAAUAUUGCACAAUGGGCGCAAGCCUGAGGCAGCCAUGCCGGGUGUAUGAAGAAGGCCUUGGGGUUUUAAAGUACGUUCAGCGAGGAGGCGUUACCCGCAGAAGAAGCACCGGCUAACUCCGUGCCAGCAGCCGCGGUAAUAC